rnacentral:rRNA from 1 species
CGUUAGUGGCGGACGGGUGAGUAACGCGUGGGUAACCUGCCUCACACAGGGGAGUAACAGUUGGAACGACCGCUGAUACCGCAUAACCCGCCGGUGCCGCAUGGCACUGACGGAAAAGAUUUAUCGGUGUGAGAUGGACCCGCGUCUGAUUAGCCAGUUGGCAGGGUAACGGCCUACCAAAGCGACGAUCAGUAGCCGGCCUGAGAGGGUGAACGGCCACAUUGGGACUGAGACACGGCCCAAACUCCUACGGGAGGCAGCAG